GCCUGUGUGGUGUAGUGGUUUGAGCGUUAGACUAGGACACUGGGAGACCAAGGUUCGAAUCCUGGCUCUGCCA